rnacentral:rRNA from 1 species
UACAACUAAGGUCCCAAAGUACAAGUUAAGUGGUAAAGGAUGUGUCGACGCUAAAACAACCAGGAUGUUGGCUUAGAAGCAGCCACUCAUUUAAAGAGUGCGUAAUAGCUCACUGGUCGAGUAUCGGUGCGCCGAAGAUUAUCGGGGCUAAAACUUGUCACCGAAGUUUAGGGAUAUGCGAUUGCAUAUCGGUAGAGGAGCAAUGUGUACGGGCAGAAGCUGUAUCGAAAGGGGCAGUGGACUGUACACAAGAGAGAAUGCCGGCAUAAGUAGCGAGAGCAAAGUGAGAAACUUUGCCGUCGAAAGCCUUAGGUUUCCUGGGGAAGGUUCGUCCUCCCAGGGUAAGUCGGGACCUAAGCCGAGGCCGAAAGGCGUAGGUGAUGGACAACAGGUAGAUAUUCCUGUACCACCGACAGUCGUCUAAAUGAAGCAAUGACACAGAAGGAUAGUCAAACCGCGUUGAUGGAUAUAUGCGGCCAAAUCAUUAGGCUUAUGUGUAGUGAAGUACGCACAUAGUUAAGGCUGAGUGAUGAUGGGGAGUGAAAACUAGUAAUGAAGUUGAUGAUUCCACGCUGGCGAGAAAAGUUGCUAAAUAUGACUGAAGGUGCCCGUACCGCAAACCGACACAGGUAGGUGAGGAGAAAAUCCUAAGACGAGCGGGAUAACCCAUGUUAAGGAACUCUGCAAAAUCACCCCGUAACUUAGGGAGAAGGGGUACCACGCAAGUGGUCGCAGUGAAGAGGCCCAAGCGACUGUUUAUCAAAAACACAGGUCUCUGCUAAAUCGUAAGAUGAAGUAUAGGGGCUGACGCCUGCCCAGUGCUGGAAGGUUAAGGGGAUGUGUUAGCGCAAGCGAAGCACGGAACUUAAGCCCCAGUGAACGGCGGCCGUAACUAUAACGGUCCUAAGGUAGCGAAAUUCCUUGUCAGGUAAGUUCUGACCCGCACGAAUGGCGUAACGAUUUGGGCGCUGUCUCAACAUGGGACCCGGCGAAAUUGUAGUAUACGUGAAGAUGCGUAUUACCCGCGACUGGACGGAGAGACCCCGUAGAGCUUUACUGUAGUCUGAUAUUGGAUUUCGGUGAUUUAUGUACAGGAUAGGUGGGAGACUUUGAAGCAUAGGCGUCAGCUUAUGUGGAGUCAACCUUGGGAUACCACCCUUAAAUUAUUGAGGUUCUAACUUUGUGCCGUAAUCCGGGCAGAGAACAGUGUCAGAUGGGCAGUUUGACUGGGGCGGUCGCCUCCUAAAAUGUAACGGAGGCGUCCAAAGGUUCCCUCAGGAUGGUUGGAAAUCAUCCAAAGAGUAUAAAGGCAGAAGGGAGCUUAACUGCGAGACAGACAUGUCGAGCAGAUACGAAAGUAGGGCUUAGUGAUCCG